AGAGUUUGAUCCUGGCUCAGGAUGAACGCUGGCGGCGUGCCUAAUACAUGCAAGUCGAGCGAACGGACGAGAAGCUUGCUUCUCUGAUGUUAGCGGCGGACGGGUGAGUAACACGUGGAUAACCUACCUAUAAGACUGGGAUAACUUCGGGAAACCGGAGCUAAUACCGGAUAAUAUUUUGAACCGCAUGGUUCAAAAGUGAAAUACGGUCUUGCUGUCACUUAUAGAUGGAUCCGCGCUGCAUUAGCUAGUUGGUAAGGUAACGGCUUACCAAGGCAACGAUGCAUAGCCGACCUGAGAGGGUGAUCGGCCACACUGGAACUGAGACACGGUCCAGACUCCUACGGGAGGCAGCAGUAGGGAAUCUUCCGCAAUGGGCGAAAGCCUGACGGAGCAACGCCGCGUGAGUGAUGAAGGUCUUCGGAUCGUAAAACUCUGUUAUUAGGGAAGAACAUAUGUGUAAGUAACUGUGCACAUCUUGACGGUACCUAAUCAGAAAGCCACGGCUAACUACGUGCCAGCAGCCGCGGUAAUACGUAGGUGGCAAGCGUUAUCCGGAAUUAUUGGGCGUAAAGCGCGCGUAGGCGGUUUUUUAAGUCUGAUGUGAAAGCCCACGGCUCAACCGUGGAGGGUCAUUGGAAACUGGAAAACUUGAGUGCAGAAGAGGAAAGUGGAAUUCCAUGUGUAGCGGUGAAAUGCGCAGAGAUAUGGAGGAACACCAGUGGCGAAGGCGACUUUCUGGUCUGUAACUGACGCUGAUGUGCGAAAGCGUGGGGAUCAAACAGGAUUAGAUACCCUGGUAGUCCACGCCGUAAACGAUGAGUGCUAAGUGUUAGGGGGUUUCCGCCCCUUAGUGCUGCAGCUAACGCAUUAAGCACUCCGCCUGGGGAGUACGACCGCAAGGUUGAAACUCAAAGGAAUUGACGGGGACCCGCACAAGCGGUGGAGCAUGUGGUUUAAUUCGAAGCAACGCGAAGAACCUUACCAAAUCUUGACAUCCUUUGACAACUCUAGAGAUAGAGCCUUCCUCUUCGGGGGACAAAGUGACAGGUGGUGCAUGGUUGUCGUCAGCUCGUGUCGUGAGAUGUUGGGUUAAGUCCCGCAACGAGCGCAACCCUUAAGCUUAGUUGCCAUCAUUAAGUUGGGCACUCUAAGUUGACUGCCGGUGACAAACCGGAGGAAGGUGGGGAUGACGUCAAAUCAUCAUGCCCCUUAUGAUUUGGGCUACACACGUGCUACAAUGGACAAUACAAAGGGCAGCGAAACCGCGAGGUCAAGCAAAUCCCAUAAAGUUGUUCUCAGUUCGGAUUGUAGUCUGCAACUCGACUACAUGAAGCUGGAAUCGCUAGUAAUCGUAGAUCAGCAUGCUACGGUGAAUACGUUCCCGGGUCUUGUACACACCGCCCGUCACACCACGAGAGUUUGUAACACCCGAAGCCGGUGGAGUAACCUUUUAGGAGCUAGCCGUCGAAGGUGGGACAAAUGAUUGGGGUGAAGUCGUAACAAGGUAGCCGUAUCGGAAGGUGCGGCUGGAUCACCU
rnacentral:rRNA from 1 species